GAGUUUGAUCCUGGCUCAGAUUGAACGCUGGCGGCAUGCUUUACACAUGCAAGUCGAACGGCAGCACGGGGUUUACCCUGGUGGCGAGUGGCGAACGGGUGAGGAAUACAUCGGAACGUGUCUAUAAGUGGGGGAUAACGCAUCGAAAGGUGUGCUAAUACCGCAUAAUCUCUCAGGAGAAAAGCAGGGGAUCGCAAGACCUUGCGCUUUAGGAGCGGCCGAUGCCUGAUUAGCUUGUUGGUAAGGUAAAAGCUUACCAAGGCUUCGAUCAGUAGCUGGUCUGAGAGGACGACCAGCCACACUGGGACUGAGACACGGCCCAGACUCCUACGGGAGGCAGCAGUGGGGAAUUUUGGACAAUGGGGGAAACCCUGAUCCAGCCAUGCCGCGUGAGUGAAGAAGGCCUUCGGGUUGUAAAGCUCUUUC
rnacentral:rRNA from 1 species